rnacentral:ncRNA from 1 species
GGAGUGGAGCCUGCGGCUUAAUUUGACUCAACACGGGAAAAAUUACCAGGUCCAGACAUAGUGAGGAUUGACAGAUUGAGAGCUCUUUCUUGAUUCUAUGGGUGGUGAUGCAUGGCCCUUCUUAGUUGGUGGAGUGAUUUGUCUGGUUAAUUCCGUUAACAAACGAGACCCCUGCCUGCUUAAUAGCACGUGUAGUGUUUAUCACUGCAUUUGGGCUUCUUAGACGGAGGAAGAUAGGGGCAAUAACAGGUCUGUGAUGCUCUGAGAUGUUCUGGGCCGCACGCGUGCAACACUGAUGCUUUCAACUUGAUUCCAACUUUUUGCUUCACUGCAAAUUGUUGGUUUCAAUCAAAGUGGCAACUUGAUUUGUUUCAUUUC